AAAAAAGAGGAGGGAAUAGGAAAAAAGAAAAAAAGAAAGACAAGCUGCUGAGCACCACUACAUUGAGCAUGAUGUGUCUCCUGUACUGUUUGUGUGUUUCAUGUGAAGUAUUGUUCUGAUUAACUGACAUCCUUGCUUACAAGUUUCACUAACCCUUUGGAGUUUAAGCACAAAUGCACAAAGGGAAAAGAGGACGACCUGUUUGGGGUUCUUUUUUGCAAAAACAAACAGUCGCAUGCUGGACGCUAACACCAAGCUUACACUGUGUGUGUGAUACGGCUGAGCUGCUCCAUAAGGCUCUAUCUUUUAUCUGCCCAAGGCGUGCCCUGCAACUCUGGAUUGCAGAGCAGUUGCUGGGGUGAUUGACCUAGGCACAGUG
rnacentral:sRNA from 1 species